rnacentral:lncRNA from 1 species
GACUUUCUCACCAACCCGAUCCAGCUCCGCUUUACCAGCAUGCUGGUGGACUCCGACUCCGUCGCCUCCAUCACCGACUCGGUGUCCGCCGUCAGCUCGGCAUCCGUCGGAUCUGCAUCGACGGAGCAAGGUCUCCACCUGAGAAUCAUCACGCCGCUUGCCCAGCAGAUUGGCGAUCUCUCUCUCAGAGAGGAUCCCGUGCAUCCUCGCGGCAACCCGCC